CACAGAAACACAGCAAUACUAUCCAUUUUAUGAGAUGUGUGAACUAAACACACAUCUAUGUGGCCUGCUGAUGGGAGUAGAGUCAGAUAUUUCAGUUUCACCACUAUCAAGCACAAGAAAAAUCAGUUGUGAUUCCAAGAAGAGAUGAACUCAAUUGAACUUUACAAGACAAGAGAAAUGUCUGAAAUGGAGAUUAUACAAUUUGUCUUGAAGCAGAAGCCCCAACUCGAGCACUUUGGAAACUCCUGGCAUUCUUCAAUACAACUCAAAUGAUAUUGAAAAGAGUUCACAUGGUCUUUUCUGCUUGCCUUUGGUGUGGGUCAAGAUUUUGGUCAGUGCAUUCAGC
rnacentral:lncRNA from 1 species